rnacentral:rRNA from 1 species
CUACGGGAGGCAGCAGUGAGGAAUAUUGGUCAAUGGGUGCAAACCUGAACCAGCCAUGCCGCGUGAAGGAAUAAGGUCCUAUGGAUUGUAAACUUCUUUUAUACGGAAAAAAACCCUUCGACGUGUCGGAGGCUGAUGGUACCGUAAGAAUAAGGAUCGGCUAACUCCGUGCCAGCAGCCGCGGUAAUACGGAGGAUCCAAGCGUUAUCCGGAUUCACUGGGUUUAAAGGGUGUGUAGGCGGGGUAUUAAGUCAGUGGUGAAAGCCUACAGCUUAACUGUAGAACUGCCAUUGAAACUGAUAUUCUUGAGUACAAUUGAGGUAGGCGGAAUGUGUGGUGUAGCGGUGAAAUGCUUAGAGAUCACACAGAACACCGAUUGCGAAGGCAGCUUGCUAAAUUGUAACUGACGCUGAGACACGAAAGCGUGGGGAUCAAACAGGAUUAGAUACCCUGGUAGC